GACGAACGCUGGCGGCGUGCUUAACACAUGCAAGUCGAACGGAAAGGCCCUGCUUUUGUGGGGUGCUCGAGUGGCGAACGGGUGAGUAACACGUGAGUAACCUGCCCUUGACUUUGGGAUAACUUCAGGAAACUGGGGCUAAUACCGGAUAGGAGCUCCUGCUGCAUGGUGGGGGUUGGAAAGUUUCGGCGGUUGGGGAUGGACUCGCGGCUUAUCAGCUUGUUGGUGGGGUAGUGGCUUACCAAGGCUUUGACGGGUAGCCGGCCUGAGAGGGUGACCGGCCACAUUGGGACUGAGAUACGGCCCAGACUCCUACGGGAGGCAGCAGUGGGGAAUAUUGCACAAUGGGCGGAAGCCUGAUGCAGCAACGCCGCGUGCGGGAUGACGGCCUUCGGGUUGUAAACCGCUUUCGCCUGUGACGAAGCGUGAGUGACGGUAAUGGGUAAAGAAGCACCGGCUAACUACGUGCCAGCAGCCGCGGUGAUACGUAGGGUGCGAGCGUUGUCCGGAUUUAUUGGGCGUAAAGGGCUCGUAGGUGGUUGAUCGCGUCGGAAGUGUAAUCUUGGGGCUUAACCCUGAGCGUGCUUUCGAUACGGGUUGACUUGAGGAAGGUAGGGGAGAAUGGAAUUCCUGGUGGAGCGGUGGAAUGCGCAGAUAUCAGGAGGAACACCAGUGGCGAAGGCGGUUCUCUGGGCCUUUCCUGACGCUGAGGAGCGAAAGCGUGGGGAGCGAACAGGCUUAGAUACCCUGGUAGUCCACGCUGUAAACGGUGGGUACUAGGUGUGGGGUCCAUUCCACGGGUUCCGUGCCGUAGCUAACGCUUUAAGUACCCCGCCUGGGGAGUACGGCCGCAAGGCUAAAACUCAAAGGAAUUGACGGGGCCCCGCACAAGCGGCGGAGCAUGCGGAUUAAUUCGAUGCAACGCGUAGAACCUUACCUGGGUUUGACAUGGAUCGGGAGUGCUCAGAGAUGGGUGUGCCUCUUUUGGGGUCGGUUCACAGGUGGUGCAUGGCUGUCGUCAGCUCGUGUCGUGAGAUGUUGGGUUAAGUCCCGCAACGAGCGCAACCCUUGUUCACUGUUGCCAGCACGUUAUGGUGGGGACUCAGUGGAGACCGCCGGGGUCAACUCGGAGGAAGGUGGGGAUGACGUCAAGUCAUCAUGCCCCCUAUGUCCAGGGCUUCACGCAUGCUACAAUGGCUGGUACAGAGAGUGGCGAGCCUGUGAGGGUGAGCGAAUCCCGGAAAGCCGGUCUCAGUUCGGAUUGGGGUCUGCAACUCGACCUCAUGAAGUCAGAGUCGCUAGUAAUCGCAGAUCAGCAACGCUGCGGUGAAUACGUUCCCGGGGCU
rnacentral:rRNA from 1 species